rnacentral:misc_RNA from 1 species
GAUGAAGAACGCAGCGAAAUGCGAUAAGUAAUGCGAAUUGCAGAAUUCCAGUGAGUCAUCGAAUCUUUGAACGCACAUUGCGCCCUUUGGUAUUCCGAAGGGCAUGCCUGUUCGAGCGUCAUUAUCACCCCUCAAGCCCUCGGCUUGGUGUUGGACGGUUUGGUGGAGGCCCCCUCGUGGGCUCCUGCCCCUCCCAAAGACAAUGACGGCGGCCUCGUUGGACCCCCGGUACACUGAGUUCUUCACGGGACACGUAUCGGACACAUGGGUUUACGGGACACGGUCUGCCUCCCCUCAGGGAGAAUCUUUCUAAGGUUGACCUCGGAUCAGGUAGGGAUACCCGCUGAACUUAAGCAUAUCAAUAAGCGGAGGA